GAGAUUGCUCAAAACAGCGCAUGCGUCGACUUCCUGUUUGUAUGAGUCGUUCGACUGAGCGCGUACACGUAAAAAAAAAAAAAAAAAAAACUAAUGUUACCAGGGCUUCACUUGCACCUCUGGUCAUAUCAGUAAAUAAAUAGAGAAAAGUUGCUCCUGUCUGGGAGUAGUGUUAGGUUAGUUGUUACAACGAGCAAGAAAGGUCGACAUGGAGCAAACAAAAUCUCGAACCUCCGGGGAAACGCCAAACAGGAGAGUCUGCUGGCAGAAGACAGUGCGACAGAGCUCGUGAUAAAACGAGAACCAAUAUGGCUAAUGGCUAAGCUUUUCGGAGCUGGCUAGAACUGGGAUAUUUGAAAUGUUGUAAAAGAGACGCGGAUGGCGUUUUUAUCACUGAACAGACAGGGACACCGGCAUGGAUCAAACCAGCAGUCGGCUGUCGUCCCAGCAGGAGCUCAGCUGUCUGUCUGUCUGCCUCCUGGAUGCCACAUGAGGGUCUCGUAUCUCAGACGCCCCUCCAGAAUGACAUUCCACCAUGACGUCUGCACAGUGUGGAGGCAUCCUGUGGACACGUACCGCCGGUGCGUCGCUGUCUGCGGUGCCGGUUACGCGCGGGCUCGCGCUCACCGCGUCACUCGGACUGGAUGCUGCGGGCAGAUGCCUGAUGGAGUUCUGUAACACAGGUCCGACUUGAGCAUCUGCAGUGAUUCCUCCCCAGACCGCGAGAUAAACAGUCACAACGUGAAUCAUGUAUUAUCACAAAGGCGGACCACAGUGACUGCAAGAUUAUCACCAAAUCCACACAGAAUGGAAAACAACAACCUUUCACCCCUAAACACAAGGAACUGUGGGUCUCCAUUACUCACUCCCCAGUGAUAAAUGUUGUAUGCUGACGAGGUGAAGGAGAGGUGAUGUGGACCUUUAUGUCUGUGAAUGAUAGACUGACUGAUGACUAAGACAAUCACAAUGGCUACGGCUCAUCUUCUCAUACUAUUAUUGGAUAAAACAUUGAUUUUUCUCAUUUGAUACCUAGUGCAAAGUGUACCUCAUAUGUUGUCUGAGAAGGUUAUUUUCCAUCUUAUACAGAAAGAGUAUAAUCAACUUUAUGAUUCACUCCACUACAACUUAUUGAAUCACUAAAAGACAAGAAAGUCUAAAAAUGCUCCCUAAAUGAUUGAUGGAAUAAAUUAGCUUAAAUAACUUGAGUUGUGAGGCUUUUUUGCAAAAACAAAAAAACAGUCCCUGAUGGAAUCUGCUGACUUUUUUACACAUUUUCUGUGCUUAAAAGUCUCACAAUGUGAAUGAA